rnacentral:rRNA from 1 species
AAAGAAAGUUGGAGGCAUGCCUAACACAUGCAAGUCGAACGAGACCUUCGGGUCUAGUGGCGCACGGGUGCGUAACGCGUGGGAACCUGCCCUUAGGUUCGGAAUAACUCCCCGAAAGGGGUGCUAAUACCGGAUAAUGUCUUCGGACCAAAGAUUUAUCGCCUUUGGAUGGGCCCGCGUUGGAUUAGCUAGUUGGUAGGGUAAAAGCCUACCAAGGCGACGAUCCAUAGCUGGUCUGAGAGGAUGAUCAGCCACACUGGGACAGAGACACGGCCCAGACUCCUACGGGAGGCAGCAGUGGGGAAUAUUGGACAAUGGGCGAAAGCCUGAUCCAGCAAUGCCGCGUGAGUGAUGAAGGCCUUAGGGUUGUAAAGCUCUUUUACCCGGGAUGAUAAUGACAGUACCGGGAGAAUAAGCUCCGGCUAACUCCGUG